rnacentral:lncRNA from 1 species
AUUAGAGUUGCUGCACAUAAAACCAGAAUCUUCUAUUGCUUAGAGAGGAUUUAGAAUUUCCAAAACACUGAUGUGGCUGACUAGAAAAUAUUUUAAGAUCUACAGUGAAACUCAGAUGAUGAGGAGGAAGGUGAUGAGCACUGUCCUGUCAGCCAUGACUCCACAAGAAGUCAUUAAAAAUAACCCAGAGUUCCGGCCAGGAAUACCACUUCAGCUUCAG